UUACUAUUCCCUUUGUCCAAAAAAACUUGUCCCUCAAAUAAUGUAUCUAGCACCAAGUUAGUGCUAGAUACAUCCAUUUAAGAUACGCACUUGGGACAAGUUUUUUCGGACGGAGGGAGUAUCCA
rfam:Triticum aestivum genome assembly, contig: Triticum_aestivum_CS42_TGACv1_scaffold_558708_7AL